rnacentral:rRNA from 1 species
CUACGGGGUGCUGCAGUGGGGAAUAUUGCACAAUGGGCGCAAGCCUGAUGCAGCCAUGCCGCGUGUAUGAAGAAGGCCUUCGGGUUGUAAAGUACUUUCAGCGGGGAGGAAGGGAGUAAAGUUAAUACCUUUGCUCAUUGACGUUACCCGCAGAAGAAGCACCGGCUAACUCCGUGCCAGCAGCCGCGGUAAUACGGAGGGUGCAAGCGUUAAUCGAAAUUACUGGGCGUAAAGCGCACGCAGGCGGUUUGUUAAGUCAGAUGUGAAAUCCCCGGGCUCAACCUGGGAACUGCAUCUGAUACUGGCAAGCUUGAGUCUCGUAGAGGGGGGUAGAAUUCCAGGUGUAGCGGUGAAAUGCGUAGAGAUCUGGAGGAAUACCGGUGGCGAAGGCGGCCCCCUGGACGAAGACUGGCGCUCAGGUGCGAAAGCGUGGGGAGCAAACAGGAUUAGAUACCCGCGUAGUC